rnacentral:tRNA from 1 species
GGGCAUUUGGUCUAGUGGUAUGAUUCUUGCUUCGGGUGCGAGAGCACCCGAGUUCGAUUCUCGGAAUGCCCC